rnacentral:rRNA from 1 species
GUGAUGCCUGCCCGGUGCUGGAAGGUUAAUUGAUGGGGUUAGCGUAAGCGAAGCUCUUGAUCGAAGCCCCAGUAAACGGCGGCCGUAACUAUAACGGUCCUAAGGUAGCGAAAUUCCUUGUCGGGUAAGUUCCGACCUGCACGAAUGGCAUAAUGAUGGCGGCGCUGUCUCCAGCAGAGGCUCAGUGAAAUCGAAAUCGCUGUGAAGAUGCAGUGUACCCGCGGCUAGACGGAAAGACCCCGUGAACCUUUACUGCAGCUUGACACUGAACUUUGACCUUACUUGUGUAGGAUAGGUGGGAGGCUUUGAAGCUGGAACGCUAGUUCCAGUGGAGCCGUCCUUGAAAUACCACCCUGGUAAUGUUGAGGUUCUAACUCUGUCCCGUGAUCCGGGACGAGGACCGUGUCUGGUGGGUAGUUUGACUGGGGCGGUCUCCUCCUAAAGAGUAACGGAGGAGUACGAAGGUGCGCUCAGCGUGGUCGGAAAUCACGCGUAGAGUAUAAAGGCAAAAGCGCGCUUAACUGCGAGACCCACAAGUCGAGCAGGUACGAAAGUAGGUCUUAGUGAUCCGGUGGUUCUGUAUGGAAGGGCCAUCGCUCAACGGAUAAAAGGUACUCUGGGGAUAACAGGCUGAUACCGCCCAAGAGUUCAUAUCGACGGCGGUGUUUGGCACCUCGAUGUCGGCUCAUCUCAUCCUGGGGCUGAAGCAGGUCCCAAGGGUAUGGCUGUUCGCCAUUUAAAGAGGUACGCGAGCUGGGUUUAGAACGUCGUGAGACAGUUCGGUCCCUAUCUACCGUGGGCGCUGGAAAUUUGAGAGGAUCUGCUCCUAGUACGAGAGGACCAGAGUGGACGAACCUCUGGUGUACCGGUUGUGACGCCAGUCGCAUCGCCGGGUAGCUAUGUUCGGAAGGGAUAACCGCUGAAAGCAUCUAAGCGGGAAGCCUACCUCAAGAUAAGAUUUCCCUAGGACUUUAUGUCCUCUAAAGAGCCGUUCGAGACUAGGACGUUGAUAGGUUGGAUGUGGAAGCAUAGUGAUAUGUGAAGCUGACCAAUACUAAUUGCUCGUGAGGCUUGACUAU